rnacentral:lncRNA from 1 species
AAAUGUUCUUUGCGGAGCCAGAGUCUGGGUGUAUAUGAAUGCAGAUCCUCACCCAUUCCCAAAUAAAUCCAGGCAUCUCAACUGAGAGGAUCACUUCUCUGUAGGCCAUCACCUCAGGAGCAGCUCUGAUUUCUGCAGCUUGAGGAUUCCCUGGACACCCGCAUUUGUCAGUAAUGGUUCCCAGCAGUAAAAACGCUGAUGAAAUUAACAAAACUGCCUUCCAGAAGAAGUGCAGAAUGAGUACAUGUUGUUGGUGUACCCCAGGGGGUACUUCCACCACUGACUUCCUGCAACGCUAUGCAUCCAAGACCCGCUCCAGUGAAUUUCAGACAGCUGAUGAAGACCUCUGCUACUGCUUGGAGUGUGUGGCUGAGUACCACAAAGCAAGGGACGAAUUGCCAUUCUUACAUGAGGUUUUAUGGGAAUUAGAAACCUUACGUCUCAUAAAUCACUUUGAAAGAUCCAUGAAGGCAGAAAUUGGAGAUGAUGAUGAGUUAUAUAUAGUAGACAACAACGGAGAGGCACAGCUGUUCGACUUCACUGGCCAAGACUUUGAAAAUAAGCUUCGAGUUCCUCUUCUUGAAAUACUGAAAUAUCCAUAUUUGCUUUUACAUGAGCAUGUCAAUGAAUUAUGUGUUGAAGCACUUUGCCGGAUGGAACAAGCUAAUUGCUCCUUUCAAGUUUUUGACAAACAUCCAGGGAUCUAUUUAUUUUUGGUUCAUCCCAAUGAAAUGGUUCGGCGUUGGGCUAUCCUGACUGCAAGAAACUUGGGGAAAGUGGAUAGAGAUGAUUACUAUGACUUACAGGAGGUUUUGACUUGCCUUUUUAAAGUUAUUGAGUUGGGACUUUUAGAAAACCCAGACAUUUAUACUUCUUCUGUCCUUGAGAAGGGUAAACUGGUUCUUCUGCCUUCACACAUGUAUGAUACUGCCAACUACAAAAACUAUUGGUUAGGUAUUUGCAUGCUGCUUACCAUUCUUGAGGAGCAAGCCAUGGAUUCACUGUUGUUGGGCUCAGAUAAACAGAAUGAUUUUAUGCAGUCAAUACUUCAUACCAUGGAGAGGCAAUCAAAUGAUGAUAGUGUGGAUCCUUUCUGGCCAGCAUUACACUGUUUCAUGGUGAUUCUGGAUCGCCUUGGAUCUAAGGUCUGGGGUCAACUUAUUGAUCCUAUUGAAGCAUUUCAAACCAUUAUUAACAACGUGAGCUACAAUAGAGAGAUCCAGAACAUACGGAACAGCUCUAUGAGGACCAAGUUAGAACCGGAGUCAUAUUUGGAUGAUAUGGUGACUUGCAGCCAGAUUGUAUACAAUUAUAAUCCUGAAAAGACCAAAAAGGAUUCGGGGUGGAGAUCAGCCAUUUGCCCCGAUUAUUGUCCUAACAUGUAUGAAGAAAUGGAAACAUUAGCUAACGUGCUCCAGUCAGAUAUUGGUCAGGACAUGCGUGUUCAUAACAGCACAUUUCUGUGGUUCAUCCCUUUCGUGCAAUCCCUCAUGGACCUGAAGGAUCUGGGUGUGGCUUACAUAGUGGAGGUUAUUCACCAUCUGUACUCUGAAGUCAAAGAUGUUCUCAACCAGACAGACGCUGUGUGUGACAAAGUCACUGAGUUUUUCCUUCUGAUUUUGGUGUCCGUGAUUGAACUGCAUAGAAAUAAAAAAUGUCUACAUUUGCUGUGGGUUAGUUCCCAGCAGUGGGUGGAGGCUGUGGUGAAGUGUGCCAAGCUACCGACCACAGCGUUUGCACGGAGUUCCGAGAAGUCAUCUGGAAACUGUUCCAAAGGCACAGCAAUGAUAUCAUCCCUGUCACUGCAUUCAAUGCCCUCCAACUCUGUGCAGCUGGCUUGUGUGCAGCUGAUUAGAAGUCUCCUGAAAGAAGGCUAUCAGCUUGGGCAGCAGACUCUCUGUAAACGGUUCCGGGAUAAACUCAACUUAUUCCUGCGAGGGAAUUUAUCUUUAGGUUGGCAGUUGACUAGUCAGGAAACCCAUGAGCUACAAACUUGUUUAAAGCAAAUUAUUAGGAACAUAAAAUUCAAAGUACCUCAGUUUAGCACUUCUGUCGAUCUGAAUCCUGCAUGUAAGACACCUCCAGCAUCUUUUAAAGAAGAAAGUGAACAAAUAGGGAAGAAGUCUGAAAAAGAUGUGCACUGUCUGGAAAAUUCCAGCCCAACAUCUUCUAAAGAACCAAUGAAAGCUGAUGCAUAUCAAGUGCAAGAGAGUAUUUUGAGCAAAGCAAAUAAUGCUAUAGAAGAGACUAAAGAGCCGUGUUAUAUAAAAGAUUUGAAACUAGAAGGCCACCUCUCAGCUGAGUCAUGUUUGAAGCUGAGGAGUAAAAACCUUGCCUGUGAAAGAGUUCAAAAUCAAGUUAAAAUAAGUACAGGGAAAUAUAAGUGUGUAAAAGAGAAUUCCUCAUGUACCCCACAGGAUGGUACUUUAAGAAAUGGUCCAGAAAAAGUAUUUGACAGAGGAAUAAUAAUAUCAAGGCGCUUAUUGACUGUUUCUAGUACGGAUUCUAUGGAAAAAGUGUCUGCCUCCAAUGAGGACUUCUCUUUAAAGGAUGAUGAUCUUGGCAAAAGCUCAACAGCAAAAUCUAAGACACAUAAAGAUGGAGUCUGUGCUAAGUUGUCACAUGUAAUAAAAAAGCAACACAGGAAAAGUAUCAGUUUAGAGGAAAACCUGACUGUAUCUGGCAUUGAGGGUUUCUAUUCAAAGAAAGAUAUAGGAGGUCAGAAAGGAGGUGGAAACAUAUGCACUCCUUCUUUAGUCCCUAAUGGUAUUCUGGAUGAUAAAAAUGGAGAACAAAAAUCUCAAAGCUGUUUAUUGCUGAGAAAGAAAGAAGUAAAGAAAGAAAAGUUAGAUAUUUUUUCUACCCCUGAAAACAGUUGUCAAAUACAGGAAUGUCAUGUUGAUACCAAAGAUUUGGUCUCACUCACAGAAAUGACCAAUACUUUCAUGAUGAAAGCAUCUCCCUUUAAAGAGCCUGUGACUGGACAUGAAUUGAGAGAUAGGAAAAUUAGUAGGAGCACUGAUCAAUUUUCUUCUAAUUUAAGAGAACAGGACCUUAGCAGCAGUCCCCAGCCUGACACCUUAACAGAUUCUCAGGUAGAUAGAGACCUCCACAAAUUAUCUUUAAUGGCUCAAGCCAGUGUUACUAAGUUCCCAUCAGAUUCAACUCAAAAAAGUUUAUCCCAAAUACAAAGAAAAGUAAAAGAUGAGAAAAGAUGUUUCACAGCAAACCAAAAUAUCAGGGAAACCUGCCGUGGACAGGUUAUUAUUAUUUCAGAUUCCGAUGAGGAGGAGGAGGAGGAAAGAAUCCUGGGUUUGAAGAAACAAAUGAAAGAGAUCAAAGCAUGCAUUGAGAAAGAAUGUCCAGAGCAACAUACUUCAAUAGCUAACACAAAUGUGGAACAGAAGGUAUUAAUAAAGGAAGAAAAUCCAGUGUCCCUUUUGCAGUUUGAGGAAUCUGAUUCUCAGUUUUUUGAGUUUGAGACUCCAUGUGAAGUGUUUUCAGUUUGGCAUGAUCAGAAACCAGACAAGAAUUCAGCUCAAGAGGAGGAGAAAAAUCCAUGCUCGACUCCUGUGGGUGAUACUGCAAAUGAUUUGGGUUAUGAGACAGAUUAUGUAUCUGAAGAGGUCAUUAAAAAAGUAGCAGAGAACUUUGAAGAGCGCACAAAACCACGUAGUAGUACUUCUGUUGAGGAAUUUUGUGAAAUUGAAGUAAAAAAACCCAAGAGAAGACGGUAUGAAAACCCUAUAGCUGAAGAUCCUCUAAGGCCUUCAUCUUCUGUCAAAAAUGAGGACCAGUCUGGUAUUUUUAACAAGGGGAAUCUGAGUAAAAAUGAUUUUAAAGGUGUAGACCCAAGAGCUACAGUUCCCAGUUCAAGUGUUCAGAGAAAUGCUGCGGUUUCCCCAAAGAAGUCUCUUCCAAAGCCUCGCACGUAUUCCAGACCUGUCAGGAAAGUUCCAGUGGUUAAAGCUUCUAAGAAAUCCCCUUCAGAUACCAAGAAAGGACAGAGUAAAAGUUCCCAUUACAUAAGCUGUAGAACAACUCCUGCUAUUGUGCCGCCAAAGAAAUUUCGCCAGUGUCCCGAACCAACUUCAACGGUUGAGAAACUUGGCCUGAAAAAGGCUCCUCGUAGGGCGUUUGAAUUGUCCCAGCGAUCUUUAGAGUGUAUAGAUCAGCUACGUGACCAUGGCAGAUCUGUUGGAGUAGUCGACACCCGGAAAAAGACAAAGUUAAUUUCUCCUCAGACUCUCUCUGUCAGAAAUAAUAAGAAACUGCUGACGAGUCAAGACCUUCAGUUGCAUAGGCAGAUGAGAUCCAAAUCACAACGCAACAGACAAGGACGUUUUGAUUAUCGAAGUACAGAUAAGACCCGAGCAGGGCCAUGUGCUGCACAGAGCUCUGCUGUGCCGGAGUCAAGUAAGUCAGAUUACAGUCAUCACGGAGGAGCCGAAGUGACUGCUAACAAUAAGGGAAAACAGUUACUAACAUGUCAGUCUUCUGAAACAGAACCCGUGAAAGCAAACCAGUGUAAUCCUGUCAUGGUAAAUGGAAGAACAGCAACGACUGAAGCCAUUGUUCCUACCUCAGAGGCCCUGUUAGGCAGAGGUGACCCAACAGUCCAUCAUUUAGAGGUGGCGACUUUGAAAGAGGGAGAGCCUGAAUUCAGCAGUGACAUAGAGGAGGAGGAUAUAUUCUUAACACAGCGUGACCCUGAAGACAUGGAUUUAUGUUCACAAAUUGAGGGAGAGUAUGAUAAACUCAUUGAAGUCAUUGAUGGAAAAGAUACCGUGCAGGGAGAGGAAGAGUGUGUGAGGCAGCCUCAGUCGGAAUCUUUGAGUAGCACAAAAUGUAGGUACAAAGAUUGUGUUGAAACUCUGAAAAACCCAGGUGAAUACUGCUCUAAACACUCAAAAACUAAAGCCACAGAUGAAGAUACAUUUCGUAAACCUGGCUUGCCUCUGUCUGCAUCAAAACGUUUGAGACCUUCCACGACCAAGGUUUUUAGUUCAAGCAGUACUUCACGGAUUGCUGGUCUCUCCAAGUCUUUGGAAAGUACCGCAUCCCUCCCAUCAUGUCUGAAAAACAAGUCAAGUGGGGCACAGUCUGUUCUGAAAGGACCACAGCCACCCCUUCUGGUGUCUCUGAAGCCAGUGGCUGAAGUGAAAGGUCUGUGCAGUGUUUUCCCUGCUCAGACUCCAAAUAACUCCAACAGGCAAGUUUUGAGAGUUCCAUUUGGGGAAAGCAGAUCUUUUUUGACUUCCUCUCCAGUAAACAUUCUCACAUCGUCACAGUCCAUCUCUGAUACCUUUGUAAAAGAGGUCUUGAAAUGGAGAUACGAGAUGUUUGUGAACUUUGACCAGUGUGGGCCCCCGUCGAGUCUGUGUCAGUCCAUCGCAAGACGGGUGCCUAUCAGGUUUCAAGACUGUGGAGAUUAUUUCAAUGUGUUUUUCCCUUUGGUGGUACUGAAUACUUUCGAAACAGUGGCACAGGAAUGGAUCAGCUCUCCAAACAAAGAGAAAUUCCAUCAGUUGCAUUUACGAAAAUUUCCUGGUGAUUAUAAAAAAUACUGGGAGUUUGUGGUUUAUCUUGAGGAAAGUGAACUAGCUAAACAGCUUCAUCCAAGGGAAAAUGAUUUGGUGUUUUUGGUUCCUGAAAGACUCAAUGAGGAGAAGAAAGAUUUAGAGUGGAGUCACCUGGAGGAUGCCUGUGAAUAUUACUGUGGCUAUGUUCAUAAAUUCCGCCGUACUUCAGUCAUGCAUAAUGGGAAAUCUGAGUGUUCGGUUUCCAUCCAGACUCAAGAUAAUUUACCAGUCAAUUUAAAUGAACUCGUGAAAUGCUUUGUAAUCAGCUCUCUGGUGACUACACAAAGGAAGUUGAAAGCCAUGUCUUUGCUGAGUGGUCGGAACCAACUGGCCAGAGCCAUUCUGAAUCCAAACCCCAUGGACUUCUGUACAAAAGAUUUACUAACUACAACGUCUGAGAGAAUUGUUGCCUACUUAAAAGAUUUCAAUGAAGACCAGAAGAAAGCGAUAGAAACUGCAUAUGCCAUGGUGAAACACUCCCCAUCAGUUGCCAAGAUCUGUCUGAUUCAUGGACCACCUGGAACAGGAAAAUCAAAAACCAUUGUUGGCAUCCUGUACCGCCUGCUGACCGAGAACCAAAGGAGGGGGCAUUCAGAUGAAAACUCCAAUGCCAAAAUCAAGCAAAACCGUGUCCUCGUAUGUGCACCUUCCAAUGCAGCUGUUGAUGAGCUUAUGAAAAAAAUUAUCCUUGAAUUCAAAGAAAAGUGUAAAGACAAGAAGAAUCCUAUGGGAAACUGUGGAGAUAUAAACUUAGUACGUCUAGGUCCAGAAAAGUCUAUUAAUAAUGAGGUCCUAAGAUUCAGUUUGGACAGUCAAGUUAACCACAGAAUGAAAAAAGACUUACCAUCUCAUGUUCAGGAGAUGCACAAAAGAAAGGAAUUUCUCGAUCGUCAACUUGAUGAACUUUCCCGCCAGCGUGCUUUAUGCCGAGGUGGAAGGGAAUCGCAGAGGCAAGAAUUAGAUGGAAAAAUUGCCAGAGUUUCAAAAGAAAGGCAGGAGCUUGCUUCUAAAAUUAAAGAGGUUCAAGGACGCCCACAGAAGACACAGAGCAUCAUCAUCUUAGAGUCGCACAUCAUUUGCUGCACACUGAGCACGAGUGGUGGCCUGCUGCUCGAGGCUGCUUUCCGUGGGCAGGGAGGCGUCCCCUUCAGCUGUGUCAUCGUUGAUGAGGCUGGACAGUCCUGUGAAGUUGAAACUCUUACUCCACUCAUCCAUCGUUGCAACAAGCUUGUCCUCGUAGGAGACCCUAAGCAGCUCCCUCCCACAGUCAUUUCCGUGAAGGCACAGGACUAUGGCUAUGACCAGUCAAUGAUGGCCCGCUUCCACAAGCUCCUGGAGGAGAGUGUGGAGCACAACAUGAUUGGCAGGCUGCCUGUCUUACAGCUCACCAUCCAGUACAGGAUGCACCCGGACAUAUGCCUCUUUCCUUCUAGUUAUGUUUAUGACGGAGCCUUGAAAACAAAUAGAGGGACAGAGACCAGUCGGUGCUCAUCUGACUGGCCAUUUCAACCCUACCUCGUGUUUGAUGUUGGAGAUGGCUUAGAAAGACGGGAUAAUGACUCAUAUGUAAAUGUUCAAGAGAUAAAACUGGUAAUGGAACUAAUUAAACUUAUUAAAGACAAAAGAAGGGACAUUAAUUUCCGAAACAUUGGCAUAAUAACCCAUUACAAGGCUCAGAAGACGAUGAUUCAGAAGGAUUUGGACAAAGAGUUUGAUAGAAAAGGGGCAGCAGAAGUAGAUACCGUGGAUGCCUUCCAGGGCCGUCAGAAAGACUGUGUCAUUGUUACAUGCGUCAGAGCAAAUGCCACACAGGGCUCAAUUGGAUUUCUGGCAAGUUUGCAGAGAUUGAAUGUCACCAUCACACGAGCCAAGUACAGCCUCUUUAUCCUGGGACACUUGAGAACCCUAGUGGAAAAUAGGCAUUGGUAUCACCUGAUUCAAGAUGCACAGAAACGUGGCGCCAUUAUUAAGACUUGCGACAAGAACUACAGACACGAUGCAAUGAAGAUCCUGAAGCUCAAACCAUUGCUUCAGAGGAGCCUUACUCACCCUCCUGCUGUCGCUCCAGAGGCAUCCAGACCCCAGGGUGGCCUACCCAGCAGCAAGCAAGAUGGUGAACUCAGCAAGACAUCUUUUGCUUCUUCCCUGUACCACUCACCCUCUGAUUCCAAAGAAGCCACAGUCACUGAGGCUGCAAAGGAUCCUGAAAGGCCACCCACUCAGGACCGGCUUCGGGACCCAAGACUGCUGCGGAGGAUGGGCUUAGCCUUUGAUGCCCAAGGAAUAAGCCUCAGGGAGCCGCAGCCCUUGAGCCCCCAGCAUUCUGGAGCAGCGCCUCCGUCAGGCGCGCCAGGCUGCCCUGGGAGUCCCCAGGAGCCAUGCACCGUCAGGCAGCAGGGAGUCACCCUGAACAGCCACAUGCCUCACACGCAGUGCGACUCUCCAGCCGCUGGUGCUGACACUUCCACAAGCAAAAAGAAGUGUGACCAGGAAGAGGGGGUGCUCGGCCACAGGAGAGAGACCAGGGCCUUGAGUGAAGGGGAUCAGGAGUGGUGGGCGAGCUCCCACACAAAGAGGAACUCAGACUGGGAUGAGAGGGGCCUGGAGGAGGACAGCCACUCAAAGAAGAGACGGGUUUUAUAG